GACGAACGCUGGCGGCGUGCUUAACACAUGCAAGUCGAACGGAAAGGCCCUGCUUUUGUGGGGUGCUCGAGUGGCGAACGGGUGAGUAACACGUGAGUAACCUGCCCUUGACUUUGGGAUAACUUCAGGAAACUGGGGCUAAUACCGGAUAGGAGCUCCUGCUGCAUGGUGGGGGUUGGAAAGUUUCGGCGGUUGGGGAUGGACUCGCGGCUUAUCAGCUUGUUGGUGGGGUAGUGGCUUACCAAGGCUUUGACGGGUAGCCGGCCUGAGAGGGUGACCGGCCACAUUGGGACGGAGAUACGGCCCAGACUCCUACGGGGGGCAGCAGGGGGGAAUAUGGCACAAUGGGGGGAAGCCGGAUGCAGCAACGCCGCGUGGGGGAUGACGGCCUUCGGGUUGUAAACCGCUUUCGCCUGUGACGAGGCGGGGGUGACGGUAAUGGGUAAAGAAGCACCGGCUAACUACGU
rnacentral:rRNA from 1 species